CUCUGUUAAUGAUGCCUCUUCCUCUAAACCCCUUUAAGGACUGGGAGAGGCAGAGAAGCCCCAGAG
rfam:Myotis brandtii contig297153, whole genome shotgun sequence.